UGCAAGUCGAACGAGAAAGUCCCGCAAGGGACAAGUAGAGUGGCGAACGGGUGAGUAACACGUGGAUAACCUGCCGUCGAGUGGGGAAUAACCUUCCGAAAGGAGGGCUAAUACCGCAUAACACCCGAGGACAUAAGUCCCUGGGUUGAAAGGAGCGAUUCGCUCGAUGAGGGGUCCGCGCCUGAUUAGCUUGUUGGUGAGGUAACGGCUCACCAAGGCGACAAUCAGUAGCCGUCCUGAGAGGGAGCACGGCCACACUGGAACUGACACACGGUCCACACUCCUACGGGAGGCAGCAGUGAGGAAUUUUUGGCAAUGGGCGAAAGCCUGACCAAGCAACGCCGCGUGGGUGAUGAAGUAUUUUGGUACGUAAAACCCUUUCGGCAGGGACGAAUUCUUGACGGUACCUGCGGAAGAAGCCCCGGCUAACUCCGUGCCAGCAGCCGCGGUAAUACGGGGGGGGCAAGCGUUGUUCGGAAUUACUGGGCGUAAAGGGCGCGUAGGCGGUUGGAUAAGUCAGCUGUGAAAACCUCAGGCUCAACUUGAGGCCUGCAGUUGAAACUGUCCAGCUAGAGUGUGGGAGAGGAGAGUGGAAUUCCCGGUGUAGCGGUGAAAUGCGUAUAUAUCGGGAGGAACACCAGUGGCGAAGGCGGCUCUCUGGACCACAACUGACGCUGAGGCGCGAAAGCUAGGGGAGCAAACAGGAUUAGAUACCCUGGUAGUCCUAGCUGUAAACGAUGGAUACUUGCUGUAGGGGGUAUUGAAUCCUCCUGUGGCGAAGCUAACGCAUUAAGUAUCCCGCCUGGGAGAGUACGGUCGCAAG
rnacentral:rRNA from 1 species